AGCACUUAUUUGUGUUUUUGUUUAACUUGUGGACAAAGAUUUAUAGACAGGUGCAAAAAAAAAGAGAUCCUCUUUUUUUUUUUUUUUUUGGUACUGGAGAUUGAACUGGGGAGGGGGGGACACU